rnacentral:rRNA from 1 species
GUGGGGAAUUUUGGACAAUGGGCGCAAGCCUGAUCCAGCAAUGCCGCGUGCAGGAAGAAGGCCUUCGGGUUGUAAACUGCUUUUGUACGGAACGAAACGGUCCUGGUUAAUACCUGGGGCUAAUGACGGUACCGUAAGAAUAAGCACCGGCUAACUACGUGCCAGCAGCCGCGGUAAUACGUAGGGUGCGAGCGUUAAUCGGAAUUACUGGGCGUAAAGCGUGCGCAGGCGGUGCUGUAAGACAGGCGUGAAAUCCCCGGGCUCAACCUGGGAAUUGCGCUUGUGACUGCAGUGCUGGAGUACGGCAGAGGGGGAUGGAAUUCCGCGUGUAGCAGUGAAAUGCGUAGAUAUGCGGAGGAACACCGAUGGCGAAGGCAGUCCCCUGGGCCUGUACUGACGCUCAUGCACGAAAGCGUGGGGAGCAAACAGAAUUAGAUACCCUUGUAGUCC